rnacentral:misc_RNA from 1 species
AAGGAGCACCGACCAGUCUUCACCGGCUGGUCUACGUCGAGGUCAUCAGCGAACGUCUGAUGCUCGGCAAGCUCAUUAGUGGAGCACUGGCUACUCGGUUCAGCGUGAUCGCUGCCCGUCUAGUACCGCCCGGCUUGCUGGGAGUGGGAACGAGGGUGACAGGGGUUACGAGGUUCCGGACACACUGUUGGGUCCUGAGGAAACGGGCCCUGCAGCCUUACGAGGUUGCGGGUCUUGCUUCUUCUGGAGCACAGGACCAGCGAAGGAUCGCCGUUGCGCGGUUUGGAGCUGGUUGCUGUUUGUUGUUUGAGAUUUGCAUAGUGGACGCGAGCAUCUUUGU